UUUUUAAGGGCGCACGGUGGAUGCCUUGGCACUAGGAACCGAUGAAGGACGUGGGAGGCCACGAUAGUCCCCGGGGAGCCGUCAACCAGGCUUUGAUCCGGGGGUUUCCGAAUGGGGAAACCCGGCAGUCGUCAUGGGCUGUCACCCACAUCUGAACACAUAGGGUGUGUGGAGGGAACGAGGGGAAGUGAAACAUCUCAGUACCCUCAGGAAGAGAAAACAACCGUGAUUCCGGGAGUAGUGGCGAGCGAAACCGGAUGAGGCUAAACCAUAUUGGUGUGAGACCCGGCAGGGGUUGCUAAUGUGGGGUCGUGGGAAAGUUCUUGACCGGUCUGCCGGCCGGUCGGUGAGUCAGAAACCGUUGGUGUAGUCGAAGGACAUGCGAAAGGUCCGGCGUAGAGGGUAAGACCCCCGUAGACGAAACAUCAGCGGCUCACUUGAGCUUCUCCCAAGUAGCACGGAGCCCGAGAAAUUCCGUGUGAAUCUGGCGGGACCACCCGCUAAGCCUAAAUAUUCCCUAGUGACCGAUAGCGGAUAGUACCGUGAGGGAAUGGUGAAAAGUACCGCGGGAGCGGAGUGAAAUAGUACCUGAAACCGUGUGCCUACAAGCCGUGGGAGCGUCGGACACCAGCUUGCUGUGUGUCUCGUGACUGCGUGCCUUUUGAAGAAUGAGCCUGCGAGUUUGCGGUGUGUAGCGAGGUUAACCCGUGUGGGGUAGCCGUAGCGAAAGCGAGUCCGAAUAGGGCGUCUGAGUUGCAUGCCCAAGACCCGAAGCGGAGUGAUCUAGCCAUGGGCAGGUUGAAGCGCGGGUAAGACCGUGUGGAGGACCGAACCCACCAGGGUUGAAAACCUGGGGGAUGACCUGUGGUUAGGGGUGAAAGGCCAAUCAAACUCCGUGAUAGCUGGUUCUCCCCGAAAUGCAUUUAGGUGCAGCGUCACGUGUUUCUUGCCGGAGGUAGAGCACUGGAUAGGCGAUGGGCCUCAACGGGUUACUGACCUUAGCCAAACUCCGAAUGCCGGUAAGUGAGAGCGUGGCAGUGAGACUGUGGGGGAUAAGCUCCAUGGUCGAGAGGGAAACAGCCCAGAACACCGACUAAGGUCCCUAAGCGUGUGCUAAGUGGGAAAGGAUGUGGAGUCGCACAGACAACCAGGAGGUUGGCUUAGAAGCAGCCAUCCUUGAAAGAGUGCGUAAUAGCUCACUGGUCAAGUGAUUCCGCGCCGACAAUGUAGCGGGGCUCAAGCACACCACCGAAGUCGUGUCAUUGCAGUAUGAAGGGCUAACGCCUGCUGUGAUGGGUAGGGGAGCGUCGUGUGCCGGGUGAAGCAGCGGAGGAAUCCAGUUGUGGACGGUACACGAGUGAGAAUGCAGGCAUGAGUAGCGAUACAAGAGUGGGAAACUCUUGCGCCGAUUGACCAAGGGUUCCUGGGUCAAGCUGAUCUGCCCAGGGUAAGUCGGGACCUAAGGCGAGGCCGACAGGCGUAGUCGAUGGACAACGGGUUGAUAUUCCCGUACCCGCUUUGAAGCGCCAACGUCGAACC
rnacentral:rRNA from 1 species